CGACUAAUAGCAGUACACAGGGAUUGCCUUAGUAACGGCGAGUGAAGCGGCAACAGCUCAAAUUUGAAAGCUGGCUCCUUUGGAGUCCGCGUUGUAAUUUGUAGAGGAUGAUUCGGCAAGGGCUCCCGCCUAAGUCUCCUGGAACGGAGCGUCAUAGAGGGUGAGAAUCCCGUAUGCGGUGGGCUGCCUAAGCCAUGUGAAUCUCCUUCGACGAGUCGAGUUGUUUGGGAAUGCAGCUCUAAAUGGGAGGUAAAUUUCUUCUAAAGCUAAAUACCGGCCAGAGACCGAUAGCGCACAAGUAGAGUGAUCGAAAGAUGAAAAGCACUUUGGAAAGAGAGUUAAAAAGUACGUGAAAUUGUUGAAAGGGAAGCGCUUGCAGCCAGACUUGUCCGCAGUUGCUCAGCCGGUCUCCUGACCGGUGUACUCUUCUGCGGCCAGGCCAUCAUCAGUUCGGGCGGUCGGAUAAAGACCUCGGGAAUGUAGCUCCUCUCGGGGAGUGUUAUAGCCCGGGGUGGAAUGCGGCCAGCCUGGACUGAGGAUCUCGCUUCGGCUAGGAUGCUGGCGUAAUGGCUGUAAGCGGCCCGUCUUGAAACACGGACCCAAA
rnacentral:rRNA from 1 species